rnacentral:rRNA from 1 species
CGCGUAGGUGGCUUGUCAGGUCUGGUGUGAAAUUUCGGGGCUCAACCCCGAACCUGCAUCGGAAACCGGCUUGCUAGAGUCUGGGAGAGGAGAGUGGAAUUCCUGGUGUAGCGGUGAAAUGCGUAGAUAUCAGGAGGAACACCGGUAGCGAAGGCGGCUCUCUGGAACAGUACUGACGCUGAGGCGCGAAAGCUAGGGGAGCGAACA